AACUCAACUACCAUCAGAUCGUGGUAGGCCUGUCCCGAGGGGCGUGCGACCUGUGCACCUAAACAGGGUCUCCAAAAAGUCAAGGAAAGAGCUUAGUGAUAUCUCGUCUACUCUCUCGCUCCUUCCGUCCUUAUCUCCUAGCUACAGGGCACAAGGGCGAAAAGGAGGCGGAACAGGUUUCCGGCAGCGAUUCUGCCGGUCCCUUCCGUCUCCGGUGGCCUGUUUGGCGCCGGAGAUGGAAGAGGACUGGGGAAUAUACGUGCGGCUGUGCAUAGACUAGGUAGUUUAGUAUCUAGGUCUUCGUUUUUCUCACCGUCGAUGAUGAGGGUGGAGGAAUGAUCUCCGGGGGUGGCCGUGUUGCCACUCCGCGGGCAAAUAAGGUCGAAUGCUGUUGCUGACGGCGCGGCGACGUCUUUGCUUCUCCAAGAUGGCUCUGCUGAUUAUGGCGACGACGGUGGUGGCGCCAGAUCUGCUCAUGGCCUACGGUGGAGCUGCGGAGCUUCUUUCCGGCCGGCGAGGUGUGCGUUGCCGGCGGCGGAUUGGUACCUCUUUUCUUCUUGUCGACGGAAUCGCUGAUGUUCUUUCAACGGAAUAGAAGCGUUGUGGUGCCACGGCAUGGGCUGAUGCAGCAGAACCAAAGCUUUGGAGUUCCUCGAUAAGGUGGAAGGAGGUGAUGGCCGGACUCCGGCGACUGUCUGGAGGUGCCAGCGACGAAGAUGGAGUUGAGGACAUUCUGGGGUGUGUGCGUCAUAUAUCUUUGUACCAGGGUGUGCCUCAUCUGUUUAAUACAGUCUUCCCUUUCGGGAAAAAAAACAGGGCCUCAAAAAAUGUGGGGCCCCAAAGAUUAGUCUGCAUACUUACCAUUAAUAUUAGCUCAGCGAACUGUAUGGUCC